rnacentral:rRNA from 1 species
AUUGAACGCUGGCGGCAUGCCUUACACAUGCAAGUCAACGGCAGCACGGGAGCAAUCCUGGUGCGAGUGGCGAACGGGUGAGUAAUAUAUCGGAACGUGCCCAGUCGUGGGGGAUAACGUAGCGAAAGCUACGCUAAUACCGCAUACGAUCUAUGGAUGAAAGCGGGGGAUCGCAAGACCUCGCGCGAUUGGAGCGGCCGAUAUCAGAUUAGGUAGUUGGUGAGGUAAAGGCUCACCAAGCCGACGAUCUGUAGCUGGUCUGAGAGGACGACCAGCCACACUGGGACUGAGACACGGCCCAGACUCCUACGGGAGGCAGCAGUGGGGAAUUUUGGACAAUGGGCGCAAGCCUGAUCCAGCAAUGCCGCGUGCAGGAUGAAGGCCUUCGGGUUGUAAACUGCUUUUGUACGGAACGAAACGGUGAGCUCUAAUACAGUUUGCUAAUGACGGUACCGUAAGAAUAAGCACCGGCUAACUACGUG